rnacentral:rRNA from 1 species
AUUGAACGCUGGCGGAAUGCUUUACACAUGCAAGUCGAGCGGCAGCGCGGGGGCAACCCUGGCGGCGAGCGGCGAACGGGUGAGUAAUACAUCGGAACGUGUCCUUAAGUGGGGGAUAGCUCGGCGAAAGCCGGAUUAAUACCGCAUAAGCUCUGAGGAGGAAAGCGGGGGCUCCGUAAGGACCUCGCGCUGUUGGAGCGGCCGAUGUCGGAUUAGCUAGUUGGUGGGGUAAAGGCCCACCAAGGCGACGAUCCGUAGCUGGUCUGAGAGGAUGAUCAGCCACACUGGAACUGAGACACGGUCCAGACUCCUACGGGAGGCAGCAGUGGGGAAGUUUUGGACAAUGGGGGCGAACCCUGAUCCAGCCAUUCCGCGUGAGUGAAGAAGGCC